ensembl:snRNA U6 U6 spliceosomal RNA
GUGUGAAGCUUCAGUAGCACAAACACUGAAAUCGGAACGAUAUGAAGAUCAGCAUGACCCUUGUUCAAGAUGACAGGCAAAUUCGUGAAGCAUUCCAUAUUUGU